AUUUCCUGGAUUAAGGUGAUUUCCUUAGAAGGAGUGGUCUAUAAUUAGAGUUCCUUAACACCACCAGGUUGUUGUCAAGGAGCCUUGUCUGAGAGAUCCUGACCUAAUUUGUCCUUCCCUAGUUGUGGAAUAUUUGUGCCUUUUGCUGGACAAUUUCCAGCCUUUUCCAUCACAAGUGGCUGAAUUCUUUAUGCUUGGAUGGACUCCAUUUGCAGCUCAGCCUUGGAAGAACCCAGCAAACCAGCUUCUCACAGGCGUGUGUGACAAAACCCUCUGCAGUCAGUAGAGAGUGUGACAUUGACUUCAGGGGGUCCCACAUGGCCAAAAAUCAGUGGUUAAUUUGCUGUGAAUGAGUGAGAUGAUUUGAAAAACAGGAACUUGUUUAAACAGACAAUGAAAAGUUAAAACGCAUUGGUUUUAGUUAAAUAAGAAAUAGUUAAACAACUUUCUUCUGUUCCCUUUUUCCUUGCUCUUUUUCGAAGACAGUAGUCUUGGAGAACACUUCAAGAAGAAACUGUACUUCUGAUGCUUUGAGUUGCCAAAGUACCUGCAUUGCCUCCCUAAUUUAUGAAGCAUAUGUGUGCUUGUAGCAGUAUUUAACAGGACUGGGGAAAGAUCUGCCAAAUUGGUUAGAGAAAAAGGAUCAUCCUCUGCAAGCACAAACUGAUCUCAUUCCAAUUAGAUAAAUUUUUACCAGCUGAAGAUCAGAGAAAAUGAAAAAGAAUAAUUUCUUUAUCCAAAUGUUAACUUGUUACAAAAACAUUGUCCAAGUGGAAAACUAUUGGAAACAGUCCAUGUGAUUUCUACAAAUGUUGAUAAAAAAAAAAAAUGCUCAAAAGCAACUUUUUAAAGCUUAAGUUUUGACCAUUUUAAAACAAAAAGAAAAUGACGUAUUUUACCAUCACUGGAUCAUUUUAGAUAUUUCCAAGAGGAACUGAUUUAAUUAAUUAAUUAACCUGUCAAUUUCUAACUGAAAAGCCAAAGUCUGUAUUUUGCAGGAAGACAGACAAGUCUGAAUACAAAAGCAUUUUAAAUAACUCCUAGAAAGCUGCAUAGCAAAGUUCAGAUCCUUGGAAAGAUAGUGAAUGCCAGGAAUCAGACACACAACAGAAAAAGGGAUCAGUCUUCUCUCUGCUAUCAUAUCUUUUAAUACUUGCUUUCAGUCCCUCAAGUUUUUAUGCUUCUUUGAAACACCUCUUCUCUGAAAGCUUUCUGGGUUCUGUGAUUUGAGGAAUUAUGUUUUCUAUAUUGUUGGAAAGUUUAAGUGCUUUUUUAAAUGGUUGCUGGUAGUAUUGACUAC
ensembl:lncRNA